rnacentral:rRNA from 1 species
GAGUUUGAUCAUGGCUCAGGAUGAACGCUGGCGGCGUGCCUAAUACAUGCAAGUCGAGCGAGAAUCUAAGGAACGGAGAUUUCGGUUGAAGGACCUUAGAGGAAAGCGGCGGACGGGUGAGUAACGCGUGGGUAACCUGCCCCAUACAGAGGGAUAGCAGUUGGAAACGACUAUUAAUACCUCAUACUCUGUAUCAAUCGCAUGAUAGAUACAGGAAAGAUUUAUCGGUAUGGGAUGGACCCGCGUCUGAUUAGCUAGUUGGUGAGGUAACGGCUCACCAAGGCGACGAUCAGUAGCCAACCUUAGAGGGUGAUUGGCCACACUGGAACUGAGACACGGUCCAGACUCCUACGGGAGGCAGCAGUAGGGAAUAUUGGGCAAUGGGGGCAACCCUGACCCAGCAACGCCGCGUGAACGAAGAAAAUCUUCGGAUUGUAAAGUUCUUUUCUUGAGGAAGAAGAAAGUGACGUACUUCAAGGAAUAAGCACCGCA